rnacentral:rRNA from 2 species
GACGGAGGAUGCAAGUGUUAUCCGGAAUCACUGGGCGUAAAGCGUCUGUAGGUGGUUAAAUAAGUCAACUGUUAAAUCUUGAGGCUCAACCUCAAAAUCGCGGUCGAAACUAUUAGACUAGAGUAUAGUAGGGGUAAAGGGAAUUUCCAGUGGAGCGGUGAAAUGCGUAGAGAUUGGAAAGAACACCAAUGGCGAAAGCACUUUACUGGGCUAUUACUGACACUGAGAGACGAAAGCUAGGGUAGCAAAUGGG